rnacentral:tRNA from 1 species
UGGGGUGUCGCCAAGCGGUAAGGCAGAGGACUCUGACUCCUCCAUUCGUGGGUUCAAAUCCUACCACCCCAA